ACGGGAGGCAGCAGUGAGGAAUAUUGGUCAAUGGGCGGAAGCCUGAACCAGCCAUACCGCGUGCAGGAGGAAGGUCUUAUGGAUUGUAAACUGCUUUUGUAUUGGGGUAAUGGCAGUGUCGAGAACACUGAAGAGAAAGUACAAUACGAAUAAGUAUCGGCUAACUCCGUGCCAGCAGCCGCGGUAAUACGGAGGAUACGAGCGUUAUCCGGAUUUAUUGGGUUUAAAGGGUGCGUAGGCGGACUGACAGGUCUGUGGUGAAAGCGUUAUGCUCAACAUAAUCGAGCCACAGAAACCGGCGGACUAGAAUAUAAGUGGCGCAGGCGGAAUAAAUCAUGUAGAGGUGACAUUCAUAGAGAUGAUUUAGAACACCGGUCGCGAAGGCAGCUUGCGAAGGUAAUAUUGACGCUAAUGCACGAAAGCGUGGGUAUCGAACAGGAUUAGAUACCCUGGUA
rnacentral:rRNA from 1 species